UUGAAGGGCUGCAGUAUAUUGACUGUACAAAGGUAGCAUAAUCAUUAGUCAUUUAAUUGAUGACUUGAAUGAAGGAUUGGAUGAAAUAUAAACUGUCUCUUGAUUAAAUAUAUAUAAUUUAAUUUUUUAAUUAAAAAGUUAAAAUAAUUUAAAAAGACGAGAAGACCCUAUAGAGUUUUAUAAAUAAAUUAAUUAAGAUUAUUUAUUAGAUAAAAAUUAAAAUUAAAUUGUUUAUUGUAUUGGGGUGAUAGAAAAAUAUAAUUAACUUUUUUUAUAUGUAUUAACAUUUAUAAGUGAUUAAAUGAUCCAAUAUUAUUGAUUAUAAGAAAAAAUUACCUUAGGGAUAACAGCGUAAUUUUUUUUUUUAGUUCAUAUAAUAAAAAAAGUUUGCGACCUCGAUGUUGGAUUAAGAUAAAAUUUAAAUGCAGAAG
rnacentral:rRNA from 1 species